rnacentral:rRNA from 1 species
CCCCUUAUGUCCAGGGCUACACACGUGCUACAACGGCCGGUACAAAGGGCAGCAAAGCCGCGAGGUGGAGCCAAUCCCAUAAAGCCGGUCUCAGUUCGGAUUGGAGUCUGCAACUCGACUCCAUGAAGUUGGAAUCGCUAGUAAUCGCGGAUCAGCAUGCCGCGGUGAAUACGUUCCCGGGCCUU